GAUGAACGCUGGCGGCGUGCCUAAUACAUGCGAGUCGAGCGAACAGACGAGGAGCUUGCUCCUUUGACGUUAGCGGCGGACGGGUGAGCAACACGUGGAUAACCUACCUAUAAGACUGGGAUAACUUCGGGAAACCGGAGCUAAUACCGGAUAACAUGUUGAACCGCAUGGUUCAACAGUGAAAGACGGUCUUGCUGUCACUUAUAGAUGGAUCCGCGCCGCAUUAGCUAGUUGGUAAGGUAACGGCUUACCAAGGCAACGAUGCGUAGCCGACCUGAGAGGGUGAUCGGCCACACUGGAACUGAGACACGGUCCAGACUCCUACGGGAGGCAGCAGUAGGGAAUCUUCCGCAAUGGGCGAAAGCCUGACGGAGCAACGCCGCGUGAGUGAAGAAGGUCUUCGGAUCGUAAAACUCUGUUAUUAGGGAAGAACAAAUGUGUAAGUAACUAUGCACGUCUUGACGGUACCUAAUCAGAAAGCCACGGCUAACUACGUG
rnacentral:rRNA from 1 species